ACGAACGCUGGCGGCGUGCCUAAUACAUGCAAGUGGGACGCAAGGAAUCACACUGUGCUUGCACACCGUGUUUUCUUGAGUCGCGAACGGGUGAGUAACGCGUAGGUAACCUGCCUAUUAGCGGGGGAUAACUAUUGGAAACGAUAGCUAAUACCGCAUAAUAUUAAUUAUUGCAUGAUAAUUGAUUGAAAGAUGCAAGCGCAUCACUAGUAGAUGGACCUGCGUUGUAUUAGCUAGUUGGUAAGGUAAGAGCUUACCAAGGCGACGAUACAUAGCCGACCUGAGAGGGUGAUCGGCCACACUGGGACUGAGACACGGCCCAGACUCCUACGGGAGGCAGCAGUAGGGAAUCUUCGGCAAUGGACGAAAGUCUGACCGAGCAACGCCGCGUGAGUGAAGAAGGUUGUCGGAUCGUAAAGCUCUGUUGUAAGUCAAGAACGUGUGUGAGAGUGGAAAGUUCACACAGUGACGGUAGCUUACCAGAAAGGGACGGCUAACUACGUG
rnacentral:rRNA from 1 species